rnacentral:lncRNA from 1 species
GUACUCCAGCCUGGCGUCAGUGCAAGACCCCAUCUCAAAAAGAAAAAAAAAAAAGGAGAGAUAUACUUCUUCUUUUUCCUUUAAUUAUUUUUAAUUUUUUUUUAAAAGAGACAGGGUCUCACUAUGUUGCCUGGGCUGGUCUUGAACUCCUGAGUUCAAGGGAUCCUCCUGCCUCAGGCUUCCAAAGUGCUGGAAUUACAGGCAUGAGCCACCAUGCCCGGCCAAGAUACACUUCUUAGAAGGUAUUGUCAUCUUUAUUUAAGGCUCGGAGAGGUUGUUGCUUACCCAAGGUUACAUAGAACCAAGAUUCACACAGUUUUGUUGGACUUCUUCAAAGGAUACUGCCUUUUUUGGAAACAUGUUUUGAGCUCCAGGCAACAACCAAUGUUUGGAACCCACCUUAUUGCAUAAUUUGGGACUACCCUAAUCUUAAACCUCAUUGACAAUGAUUGGCUGCUUUUGACUCUAGAAAUGACUCUCCUGUGUCUCCUGAGUCCUAUUUGCCUAUCCAUUGGUUAAGAUCUGCUUUGGUCUAAACAGAGUUAAGGCCAGGCAUGGUGGCUCAUGCCUAUAAUCCCAGGGCUUUGGGAAGCCAAGGCGGAAGGAUCAUUUGAGCUCAGGAGUUCAAGACCAGCCUGGGCAACAUUGCCAAAUCUGGCCUCUAUAAAGAAAAAAACAAAAAACAAAAAACUGGGCGUGAGGAGUACCUGUAGUUCAAGUUACUCAGGAGGCUGAGGCAGGAGGAUCCCUUGAGUUCAGGAGCCUGAAGCUGCAGCGAGCUUUGAUUGCACUACUGCACUCCAGCCUGGAAAACAUGGUAAGACCCCGUCUCAAUAAAAUAAAAUAAAAUAAUAAAAUAAAAUAAAAUAAAAAUAGCCAGGCGCAGUGGCUCACGCCUGUAAUCCCAGCACUUUGGGAGGCCAAGGUGGGCAGAUCAUAAGGUCAGGAGUUCAAGACCAGCCUGGCCAAUAUGGAGAAACCCUGUCUCCACUAAAAAUACAAAAAAUUAGCCUGGUGUGGUGGCACAUGCCUGUAAUCCCAGCUACUCGGGAGGCUGAGGCAGGAGAAUUGCUUGAACCCAGGAAGUGGAGGUUGCAGUGAGCUGAGAUCGUGCCACUGCACUCCAGCCUGGGUGACAGAGUGAGACUCCAUCUCAAAGAACAACAAGAACAACAACAACAAACAACAGCAACAACAGCAGAGUUAGCUAUGAUAUGAUGCGUUCUUAUCCCCUACCCCUCAUGAUCUCCCGAAUCUUUCCCCCUCUUUCCUCCUGUCCCUCUGUCCUUCUCUUUCCUUCAUUUUUUAUAAGACUGGCAAGGUUCUGUCUUCUCUCACGAUAUAACAUCUUCAUCUUCUGCCCAGUUGGGCAUCAAACAAAUGAUUUUAUGAAAGAAAUCAAGACGAGACUGGGUUUGGUGGCUCAUGCCUGGAAUCCCAGCACUUUGGGAGGCUGAGGUGGGCGGAUCACCUGAGGUCAGGAGUUCGAGACCAGCCUGGCCAACAUGGGAAAAGCUGGUCUCUACUAAAAAUAUAAAAAUUAGCUGAGCAUGGUGGCGCAUGCUUGUAAUCCCAGCUACUUGAGAGGCUGAGGCACAAGAAUUGCUUGAACCCAGGAGGCAGAGGUUGCAAGACAGGAGGCAAAGUCGGUGAUUCUCAGUCAUUUUCCCUGCAGCCCACUUCCCCCACUUCUGCCCUCAUUCAGCCCAUACCCCAAUUUUUCCUACCUCUUCCCUCACCUUCUUACUUCCUGCCUCUCCCCAGCUAGGGAGGUUUUCCCAUAGCUGGAGAUUUUCCCUAAAGGGACGAAGCCUAGGGAAGGAGGAUAAAGGCAUAGAAUAGACCCAGUGUGGAAGAGGCGUGAGGGUGAGGGGCACUUGGGCAAGGUGCAUGGAUGGAAAUGAAGGAGAGGAAAGGUCUUCCCAUCUACACAGGGCUGAGGAUGCACAGCUUCAGAGUGACCACAAGGACGCUGAGGAAAGAGCAGUGGGGAUGGAAUGAGACAGACAUGGAAGGCAGGAGGGGGCCUGCAGAGAGGCAGAGUCACAGAGCGCACGACACAAGGCUGAGGCAGGUGACAACACAGACAUUCUGGAGAACAGAAGGGCAUUCAGGGAGGAGAGCCAAGGCCACAUAGGGUUGACUUUUUUUUUUUAAAGGAUUAAGAAUGAAUCACUGUUUUCAUAAGCAUCAGUGCACAUGCCAUAUGUUAGGUGUUGCCGGAGUAGAAAACCCCAGAACACGACUUAGAACAGGCCCAACAGCCUCAUGCUCUGCCCUGACGGGGCCCUGUGGGAGAGCUCCUGGGCUUAGCUUUCCCCAGAGAUGAGGUAAUGCUCCUCAGGCAUCUCUGGGGACGUGAUCUUCACCCCCUCCCUCCUCUAAAGUGAAAUCCAAACCAAUAUAAACCCUGUAAACCUUCCUUGACGGCUCCAAGGUUAGAAGAGAAGUGGAAGUUAGCCACAUCAUUAAUAACAGAUCCCCUGGUGAAGGCUCAGUAAACACUCGGAAAUUAAUAACAGAGAAAAGAGGAGCAGGAUAGUAAUUUGGAUCAUAGACUCCUUUGAAAAUCUGAAGAAAGCUAUAGACUCUCUCCCCAGAAAAAAGCACAUGUACAUAUACACACCAGCUUCAAUAAGAUAGUGUCUGGAUGUUUGUUAAAAUCCUGAGGCCAAGGCCAAGGGUUGAGGGGCCAUGGACCCCUGAAUAAGAAGCCCUGACUUAGAGUAUAUGAAAUAGUUUUGCAUCUGUGAUCUGUUUUGUCCAGCCAAGGCCCUGGAGAUAGGGCAGAUGCUGCCUGCGUGGGACAGGCAAAGAGACCUGGGCACAGAGGAGGACUGACUUGCUCCCUGCCUGUGCGAGGAGGUAGCGUGGAGCUAAAUUUAGAACGCCUACCUCCAUGGCCAGUCUUGUCUUAUCACUCACUGUAAAUUUGGAACCUGCUGUUAGACAAACUUUUCAUUUUUUCUUACAUUUUUAGGUAGUUAAUUGGGGUUUUUAGAAAAGGGGAGAAAUUAAAGGCCGGGAGUGACAGCUCACACCUGUAAUCCCAGCACUUGGGGAGGCCGAGGAGGAAGGAUCGCUCGAGCCCAGGAGUUUGAGACCAGCCUUGGCAAUAUAGUGAGACCCAGUCUCUAUAAAAAAAAAUAACAAUAAUAAAAUAAAAUAAAAUAAUAAUGGCUCGGCGCAGUGGCUCACGCCUGUAAUCCCAGCACUUUGGGAGGCUGAGGUGGGCGGAUUACCUGAGGUCAGGAGUUCGAGAUCAGCCUGGGCAACACGGUGAAACCCCAUCUUUACUAAAAAUACAAAAUCAGCCGGGCGUGGUGACACAUGCCUGUAAUCCCAGCUACUCAGGAGGCUGAGGCAGGAGAAUCGCUUGAACCUGGGAGGCAGAGGAUGCGGUGAGCCAACAUUGCGCCAUUGCACUCCAGCCUGGGCAACGAGUAAAUCUCCGUCCCGCCAAAAAAAAAGAAAAAAAAAAAAUAAUAAAAAUUAACUAGGCAUGGUGGUGUGUGCCUGUAGUCCCAGCUACUUGGGAGGCUGAGAUGGGAGGAUAGCUUGAGCCCAGGAGUUUGAGGCUGCAGUGAGCUGUGAUGGUGCCACUGCACUCCAGUUUGGGCGACAGAGCAAGACCCUGUCUCAAAAACGAAACAAAACAAACAAAAAAAAAGGAAAGAAAAGAGGAGAAAAGACUAUAUUUUCAGGGCUUCAGGGAUCAUUUCUACAGUUUCUUACUAGACAAGUUUUUCUGAACGUGUAGAGCACUAAAAUCAGGCCUGGUGUGGUGGUUCACGCCUGUAAUCCCAGCACUUUGGGAGGCCGAGGUGGGUGGAUCACCUGAGGUCAGGAGUUUGAGACCAGCCUGGCCAACAUGGUGAAACCCUGUCUCUACUAAAAAUACAAGAAUUAGCUGGGCAUGGUGGCGCUUGCCUGUAAUCUCAGCUACUUGAGAGGCUGAGGCAGAGGAAUCACUUGAACCCAGGAGGCAGAGGAGGCAGUGAGCCGAGAUCGAGCCGUUGCACUACUGCCUGGGCAACAAUAGCGAAACUCCGUCUCAAAAAAAAAAAAAAAUAGGACUCCAUCCAGUCAUCACUGGAAGUGAGCUGACUGGAGCUAAACUUCAGAACUGUGUGAGCUGAGCGGUUACAAGACAUUAGGAAGCUAAAAAAACUGGUGGAUGAAGUUGUUAAGAGUAUGAAACCCAAAUCAACAGCCACCAUGUUUUCAAAACAGAUUUGUAAAAAUUGCAUUUGUUACACUGUACAGAAACUUUUUUUUUUUUUUUUUUGAGAUGGUGUUUUGCUCUUGUUGCCUAGGCUGGAGUGCAGUGGUGUGAUCUCAGCUCACUGCAAUCUCCACCUCCUGGGUUCAAGCGAUAUUCCUGCCUCAGCCUCCUGAAUAGCUGGGACUACAGGUGCCCACCACCGCACCCGGCUAUUUUUUUUUUUUUUUUGAGAUGGAGUUUGCUCUUGUUACCCAGGCUGGAGUGCAAUGGUACUAUCUUGGCUCACUGCAACGUCUGCCUCCUAGGUCCAAGCGAUUGUCCUACCUCAGCCUCCCGAGUAGCUGGGAUUACAGGCAUGCGCCACCACACCUGGCUAAUUUUGUAUUUUUAGUAGAGAUGGGGUUUCACCAUGUUGAUCAGGCUGGUCUCAAACUCCCAACCUCAGGUGAUCCACCCACCUCUGCCUCCCAAAGUGCUGGGAUUACAGGCAUGAGCCCCCAAGCCUGACCAGAGGCUUUUUAAAUUAAAUAAAUAUCAAACUACAUUCUUAAAAAGGAAAAAAGUGGGGGAGAAAUUAGAUUGUGCUUCCUCUUUACCCUUUUGUGACAUCACCAGCACAUUCUCACAGCUUCUUCUUCCUUCUACACUCAAAAUACAAGAUGAGGAGAAAUCUGCUGGGUUUGAGAUCCAGUAAGAAAGAAAGUGCCUCUUAAUAGAAGGUAAUAGGAAUAACAGCCAUCCAUAUUACAACUGCUGCUUCUUUCCCAUUGUCAGAAAAAUGGGGUCCAUUUAUGACUGGAUGACAAAUCCUACAGGGCUGAGAGUUAAUAGAAACCCUGCAAUGCAGUUAGGACGUGCUGACUUUUUGUGCAGUCUUUUAACGGGCGCAAGGACCAGGCAACCUUCCAGCCACUUAACAGUCUGAAAACUCUUCUUGCCUAGUAGGUCCUCUGUUUCCUUUAGUGUUUAAUAAUGGAAUAAUGUGUGCUCAUAACAGGUAAGUCAUGGAAAAUGAGCGUGAUACUGCAUUAGAGGUUAUACUUCAUGAGGAGAUGAACUGGUGUGAGCUUACGUUUUGUUUUGUUGGGAUUUUAUUUUGUUGGGACUUUUUUUUUUUUUUUCACCGUGUUAGCCAGGAUGGUCUCCAUCUCCUGACCUCAUGAUCCGCCUGCCUCGGCCUCCCAAAGCGCUGGGAUUACAGGCUUGAGCCACCGUGCCCGGCCACAAGAUGGGUUUUCAUUCAGCAAGCACAUAGGUGUUUGCUGUAUGAUGAAUGGGGCGUAAUUUAAAAUUUAGUGGGAUGUCUUAUAAAUGACGUGGCUUUUUCUGGAACCUAUAGAACAUAGAAAUGACAAAGAGCAUACAGUGCCAAUGUUCACUGAAUGAGCAUUUAUUGAGCACAUAUUAUGUUCUGGACAAUGAAGAAACAUAAUCUCUCUCUACUGUUGAACAACUCAGUCCUACAGGAGAAAUAUAUUUAAAUAUAUAUAUAGUUUGCUUGUUUUGUUUUGUUUUUUGACACAAAGCCUCGCUCUGUUGCCCAGGCUGGAGUGCAGUGGCACUAUCACGGCUCACUGUAGCCUCCCAGGCUCAAGUGAUCCUUCUGCCUCAGGCUCCUGACUAGCUGGGACUGUCAGCAUGCGCCACUAUGCCUGGCUAAUUUUCAUAAUUAUUAUUUUUUUGUAGAGACAGGGUCUUAUAAUGUUGCCCAGAGUGGUCUCCAACUCCUGGGCUCAAGCAAUCCUCCCUCCUCAGCCUCCCAAAGUUCUGGGAGUAUAGGUGUGAGCCUGAGGUGGGAGGAUCAUUUGAACCUGGGAGGCUUCCAUGAGUCAUGAUUGUGCAACUGCACUCCAGCCUGGGCAACAGAGGAAGACCUUGUUGCUCAAAAAUAUAUAUUUUGAGACAGGGUCUCACACUGCUUUCUAGGCUAGAGGUAGUGGUGUGACCACGGCUCAUUGCAGCCUCCAACUCCAGGGCUCAAUCAAUCCUCCCACCUCAGCCUCCUGAGUAGCUGGGAGUACAGGUGCAUGCCACCAUACUGGCUAAUUUUUUCUUUCUUUCUUCCUCUCUUUCUUUCUUUUUCUUUCUUUUCUUUCUUUCUCUUUCUUUCUUUCUCUUUCUUUUUCUUUCUUUUCUUCCUUUCUUCCUUUCUUCCUUUCUCUUUCCUUCUUUGUUUGUUUCUUUCUUUCUUCCUUCCUUCCUUCCUUCCUUCCUUCCUUCCUUCCUUCCUUCCUUUCUUUCUUUCUUUCUUUCUUUCUUUCUUUCUUUCUUUCUUUCUUUUCUUUUUUCCUCUCUUCCUUUCUUUCUUUCAAAAGAGUCUCACUCCAUUGCCAGGCUGGAGUGGAGUGGCGUGAUCUUGGCUCGCUGCAACCUCGUCUCCCAGGUUCAAGUGAUUCUCCUGCCUCAGCUUCCCGAGUAGCUGGGACUACAGGCGCACACCACCAUGCCCAGCUAAUUUUUUGUAUUUUUAGUAGAGCCUGGGUUUCACCAUGUUGGCCAGGAUGGUCUCGAUCUCUUGACCUCGUGAUCUGCACGCUUCAGCCUUCCAAAGUGCUGGGAUUACAGGCGUAAGCCACCGCGCCUGGCUCAUACUGGCUAAUUUUUUAAUUUUAUGUAGAGAUGGGGGCUCACUAUGUAGCCCAAGCUCCAGUCCAUAUUAACAACUAUGGUAAUUACAAUUCGAGGUAAUUAGGAAUGCUUAGGUAGAGUCCAGGUAAGCAAGCCAUUCUCUUCGUUAAGUGCUAAAAUGGGUGCUCUGAUGAUUUCCAUGUAGGAACUGAAAUAAUGUAGAAUUCAUGGAGAGAAGAUGGGGAAGGAUAUUGUAAGGAGAAGGAAUAGCAUGAGCCAAGCUUCGGAGGUGUGACCAUGUGUGACCUCUUUAGGUGAUGAUGGGUAAUGUACAGUCUUGCUUCUCAAAGCAUAGUCCCUAGACAAGCAGCAAUCUCAUCACCUUGAGAUUUUGUUAGGAGGCAGAUCCUGAUUUAGUAGGUCUGGGGAGGGACCCAAGAUUCUGCAUUCCUCACAAGUUCCUGGAUGAAUGUUGACACUGACAGUUCAUGGACCACAGUCAUUCCCGCCAUUCUAGGAGCAUGCAGCCAAUCCGAUAAGCAAUGUCUGUAGGGUAAGUCCACCCAAGUGCUGUUUUUACCUUUGGAAUUCUCUCCCCUCAUCCAUAGACAUACGUUCAUAGGACUGUUAAUUAUUGCCACUCAUCUUGAAUUCCCUGGCUAAGAAGUUAUUAUUGAACGGCUGUAAAUAUGCUGGGGCUUGGGAGAUUCAGGGGAGCAAGGAGAAAUGACUAAAACAAACACUCCGUGGUGUCAAGAUACAAAGCAGAUGGCCUGUGUCUUAGCACACUUGACACAGUGCCUCAGAACCUGCUGGGACAAUUGUUCAUGCAUUUAUUCACUCAAUCCUUCAACCCUGUGCCUAGUUCUGUAUGCUCAGAACUGGGGGUCUGGGGAAGGGGUUGGUGUGGGAUGGUGAGGAGGGAAAAGGGACUAUUUUGACCUGGAUUUGAACCCAAACUUGGAAAGCAGUUUUCCUUAGCUAGAUGAUUCUGAGGCAGAACGAAAGCAAAAGCGGGACCUGGGUUCUCUGUGGGAUCUGAAUAGCUGUGGGAUAGGCGCCCCAUGUAGAGGACUGAUGAGGUGUCACUGAAUUGUGGAGAGAUGAUGUACACGCUU